UACAGAGGUCCCGAGCGUUGUUCGGAUUCACUGGGCGUAAAGGGUGCGUAGGUGGCUUGAAAAGUUUGAUGUGAAAGCUCAGGGCUUAACCCUGAAAUGGCAUUGAAAACUGUCGGGCUGGAGGUUUGGAGGGGGGACUGGAAUUCUUGGUGUAGCAGUGAAAUGCGUAGAUAUGCGGAGGAACACCGAUGGCGAAGGCAAUCCCCUGGGCCUGCACUGACGCUCAUGCACGAAAGCGUGGGGAGCAAACAGG
rnacentral:rRNA from 1 species